GGGGAUGUGGCUUAGUGGUAGAGUGCUUACCUAGCAUGUGUGAGCUGCUGGGUUCGAUCCUCAGCACCACA
rnacentral:tRNA from 1 species